ACCGGCGCACGGGUUGCGUAACGCGUAUACAAUCUGCCUUGCACUAAGGGAUAGCCCAGAGAAAUUUGGAUUAAUAUCUUAUGGUUUAUAAUUAUGGCAUCAUAUUUAUAAUAAAGGUUACGGUGUAAGAUGAGUAUGCGUCCCAUUAGUUUGUUGGUAAGGUAACGGCUUACCAAGACUACGAUGGGUAGGGGCCCUGAGAGGGGGAUCCCCCACACUGGUACUGAGACACGGACCAGACUCCUACGGGAGGCAGCAGUGAGGAAUAUUGGACAAUGGAGGAGACUCUGAUCCAGCCAUGCCGCGUGCAGGAAGACGGUCCUAUGGAUUGUAAACUGCUUUUAUACAGGAAGAAUAAGGACUACGUGUAGUCUGGUGACGGUACUGUAAGAAUAAGGACCGGCUAACUCCGUGCCAGCAGCCGCGGUAAUACGGAGGGUCCGAGCGUUAUCCGGAAUUAUUGGGUUUAAAGGGUCCGUAGGCGGGCUGUUAAGUCAGGGGUGAAAGUUUGCAGCUCAACUGUAGAAUUGCCUUUGAUACUGACGGUC
rnacentral:rRNA from 1 species